rnacentral:rRNA from 1 species
GGCGGCGUGGAUUAGGCAUGCAAGUCGAGCGCGAUAUUUUUGAAAGAUACUUCGGUUGAUUUCUUAAAUGGAAAGCGGCGAAAGGGAGAGUAACGAGUAGAUACGUACCCAGGGGUUCGGGAUAGCCAUGCGAAAGCGUGAGUAAUACCGAAUAAUGUCUCCGGACCAAAGAUUUAUUGCCCUUGGAGCGGUUUGCUUACUAUUAGCUUGUUGGUGGGGUAAAGGCCUACCAAGGCUUAGAUGGUUAGCGGGUGUGAGAGCAUGACCCGUCUCACUGGGACUGAGACACUGCCCAGACACCUACGGGUGGCUGCAGUCGAGAAUCUUCCGCAAUGGACGAAAGUCUGACGGAGCGACGCCGCGUGCUGGAUGAAGGCCCUCGGGUUGUAAACAGCUGUCGUAGGGGAGGAAAUUUUGACCGAUCCUAGGAGGAAGCACAGGCUAAGUUCGUGCCAGCAGCCGCGGUAAUACGAACUGUGCAAACGUUAUUCGGAAUCACUGGGCUUAAAGGGUGCGUAGGCGGACUUGUAGGUCAGAUGUGAAAUCCCACGGCUCAACCGUGGAAUUGCGUUUGAAACCACUCGUCUUGAGGGGAUCAGAGGAGAGCGGAACUGAUGGUGGAGCGGUGAAAUGCGUUGAUAUUAUCAGGAACACCGGUGGCGAAAGCGGCUCUCUGGGAUCUUUCUGACGCUGAGGCACGAAAGCUAGGGGAGCGAACGGGAUUAGAUACCCCGGUAGUCCUAGCUGUAAACGAUCUGUACUAGUCCGUGGGGACCCCCACAUCUUCUCGGACGUAGCGAAAGUGUUAAGUACAGCGCCUGGGGAGUAUGGUCGCAAGGCAA